AACGCUACACACGCCUAGCAUCUUUAUUAGCAUCUUUGUAGCAUCUCGUUUGCUAUGUAGUUGUGUUGAACGUCACGUAGAAACGACAUGCUGGGAGGCUACCAAAGUAACGCCUUGCAUAGCGUUUCUGUAGCAUCCUAGCAUGUUGUUUCUAGUUGGUGGAUCUCCCUCCUCUGAGCCCUAAUCCAUGGGAACAUGUGUAACUGGAACUGCAGCAGCAUUGAUCAGAGCUCUGCGUAGAUUCAGUGUAACACGCAUAGAUUCAGUGUAACACACAAAGAUUCAUGUAACACACAAAGAUUCAGUGUAACACACAUAGAUUCAGUGUAACACACAUAGAUUCAGUGUAACACACAUAGAUUCAGUGUAACACACAUAGAUUCAGUGUAACACACAUAGAUUCAGUGUAACACACAUAGAUUCAGUGUAACACACAUAGAUUCAGUGUAACACACAAAGAUUCAGUGUAACACACAUAGAUUCAGUGUAACACACAUAGAUUCAGUGUAACACACAUAGAUUCAGUGUAACACACAUAGAUUCAGUGUAACACACAUAGAUUCAGGGUAACACAUAGAUUCAGUGUAACACAGCCACCAUGACUGCAGACAGGAAAGGGGUGGCAGCACAUGGAAUCGGGGGUGACGGUUUUUAUAACCAAAAGCAUGCAGGCCCACACAGACAGACACGCACAUACAGGCACACACACACAGACACACAUUGAUCCUUGCCUAAAUUUAGAUUUUUCUAAAACUGUUAUUCUGCCCUAAAGCACUGAAAAAAACAGGACACUGCCAUCAGCUCCUCUUUCUUUCUUUCUUUCUUUCUGGCCAUGAUGGCCGCACGCCCCUCCUGGCUGUCUGCAGACAACGGCCUGAGUACUACAGUAUUGAUUCUGACUCGUCUGUCAGGGAACAUGGCAUUCAAACGGAUACUCUGUCAACCCCAGCCCCCCUCUGUGUCAUCACGCACACCAGUCAAACCCCUCACUCUCCAGUUAGCUUUGCUGCCCUACAAAACACGCACUGAUGCACACGCGGGUCCGAGAACACGCAGGCACACACAUGGUUAUGCUCACACUGCAGCAUUCAUCUUUGAGUUUAGGUUUGUGUGCUUGCCUGUAUUCAUAGCUGUGUACUGUGCGCACACACACACGCACACACACACACACACACACACACACACACACACACACACACACACACACACACACACACACACACACACACACACACACACACACACACACACACACACACACCCUACCUUCACAA